GAUGUGGUGGUCAAGGGUAGGAUAGAAGAAUUAAAAUGGUUAUUGGAUAAUGGUACCAUAAGUUAUACAACAUCAUCAGCACGGGUGUUGGUGAGUUUUGUCAUCUCACCGUCAAAAGCCAUAAACAAUGCAGAGUAUGAACCAUCUGAAACACAUAGCUGGACAUGGUACCAGCAUAUGUGAUAGUGAGUUGAGAAUUGUUAGAGUUGGGUGGUUCAUGGC
rnacentral:lncRNA from 1 species